rnacentral:rRNA from 1 species
ACGAACGUUGGCGGCGUGGAUUAGGCAUGCAAGUCGAACGAAUCCGGCCUCUCACCACGAGGCCCACGGAUUGCAACCCGUGGGCUUUGAGGUGAGGGGCCGGGAAAGCGGCGAAAGGGGCAGUAAUGCGUGGGUAACCUACCUCGGGGACGGGGAUAGCCUUCCUAACGGAAGGGUAAUACCUGGCGAUUCGGCGAGAGGACAUCCUCAUGCCGGGAAAAGAGUUUCGCCUCGGGAGGGGCUCACGUCGUAUUAGCUAGUUGGUGAGGUAAUGGCUCACCAAGGCAAAGAUGCGUAGCGGGUGUGAGAGCACGACCCGCGCCACUGGCACUGAGACACUGGCCAGACACCUACGGGUGGCUGCAGUCGAGGAUCUUCGGCAAUGGGCGCAAGCCUGACCGAGCGACGCCGCGUGUGCGAUGAAGGCCUUCGGGUUGUAAAGCACUGUCGAGGGGGAGGAAGCCGCAAGGUUGACCUAUCCCUGGAGGAAGCACGGGCUAAGUUCGUGCCAGCAGCCGCGGUAAGACGAACCGUGCGAACGUUGUUCGGAAUCACUGGGCUUAAAGGGCGCGUAGGCGGGUUCUCAAGUCUGUGGUGAAAGCCUCCAGCUUAACUGGAGAAGUGCCGUGGAUACUGGGGACCUCGAGGUGGGUAGGGGCAUCUGGAACUGCCGGUGGAGCGGUGAAAUGCGUUGAUAUCGGCAGGAACUCUGAUGGCGAAGGCAAGGUGCUGGACCCUCUCUGACGCUGAGGCGCGAAAGCCAGGGGAGCGAACGGGAUUAGAUACCCCGGUAGUCCUGGCCCUAAACGAUGAGGACUAGGUAGUGGACUUACAUGGGCUCACUGUCGAAGCAAAAGUGCUAAGUCCUUCGCCUGGGGAGUAUGGUCGCAAGGCUGAAACUCAAAGGAAUUGACGGGGGCCCACACAAGCGGUGGAGCAUGUGGCUUAAUUCGAGGCUACGCGAAGAACCUUAUCCUGGACUUGACAUGUUCGAAAGAGGCAGCAAGUAGGGAGCGGAAACGCCACCCGAACGGUAUCCAAUCCGGAAGCUGCCACAGGUGCUGCAUGGCUGUCGUCAGCUCGUGUCGUGAGAUGUCGGGUUAAGUCCCAUAACGAGCGAAACCCCUGUUUCCAGUUGCCAGCGCGUCAAGGCGGGGACUCUGGAAAGACUGCCGGUGUUAAACCGGAGGAAGGUGGGGAUGACGUCAAGUCCUCAUGGCCUUUAUGUCCAGGGCUGCACACGUACUACAAUGCCGUGAACAAAGGGACGCAAACCCGCGAGGGGGAGCAAAUCCCAAAAAACACGGCCCAGUUCAGAUCGAAGGCUGCAACUCGCCUUCGUGAAGUUGGAAUCGCUAGUAAUCGCGGGUCAGCAACACCGCGGUGAAUGUGUUCCUGAGCCUUGUACACACCGCCCGUCAAGCCACGAAAGAGAGGGACGUCCGAAGUCGCCUUUACCGGCGCCGAAGACGGACUUCUUGAUUGGGACU